rnacentral:lncRNA from 1 species
CGCUAGGACAAUGUGGCACCAAGAGUGGAAGAAUUGGAUGUAUGCGCAAGACUUCUUUCAUAACUGAAUAGAGAUAAGGUAAUUGCUGAAUAUGAGACUCUUCCACAAUAUUAUCUUUUCCCACAACUGUAUCCAGUUCUUGUUGUAAUUUCCUCAAGACGACUGGUUUGUUCAUAAUUUCAGCCAUGGCAAACUCAACCGCAUUGGAGGUUGUGUCAGUUCCACCAACAACCAUAUCCUGCCGAUAGUAGUUGUGAAGUUAUUAUCAUGUGCAACAAUAUUUUAUUUUGAGAACAGUAUAUUGGAGUUCAGUUCAAGGUUCACAGUUAAAGUCUUCACAAAUUAUCUGUCUGAUACUAAAUUGCCGACUCUUUCCUUAAUGCAGUCCAAUAACAAGGUAGCAACGUGAAUAUAUGAAUCUGCUUCAUCUAAAUAUUUAUUGCUCAUCUGCUGCAAAAAUUCUUUAAUACAUUUAUAAUCCUAUUUUCAACUUUUGUUAGCAUUUGAUCUGUAACAGGUAAGGAAACAGACUAUUUGAAGGAAAAUUCAAACUUUGAAACCAGCACCUCAUCUAAUGAAAGUGAAUUUUUCCUAGCAGAAGAAUGUAACCAACAGUGUCGACAUGAAUCCCACCAUCUAUUUCAUUUGGUUAUGAUCCUUUUAUUAUAAAAAGAAAAGAUUUGCCAUCAUGAUCAGUGUGAGCUAAUAAUCCUUACAGAUAAAUGAAUGGUUGAAGACAAAUGCAGUUUUGGCUACUCAAAUGACUAUUGCUAACUUGAAGCUUGGAACUGGGGAGAGGAAGAUUUCUUCUUAGAAAAAAACACAUUUAGAAGGAAACAACCAAAAUCACAUCUAAUGGAAGCAGUAGAUAUAAUUGGAAUGCACAAGUAAUAAAACAUACCAUAAGUAAGGCUUUGAGUUCAGUCAUAGUCAGAGGCAUUUUGGAAUCUGCUUUAUCGUUCAACUUCAGCAAAACUUGCAAAAAAUCCUUGCUUUCUUGGCCAACGUUAGUUCCCAUCUCAGCAUUUCUGUUCAUUUUCUGUCUUUGAUCAAUCAUGCUGUCAAAUAUCUUAUCAAAUCUCUUUGCCAACACAUUCAUCUUCUUUGUUACACCCUGCAAAUCAAACCUGGCCAAUCCCGGAUAAAAAUCGGAAAUAUUUGGAGUACAUAACAGCUCAGUCAUAUCAGUGACAACAUGCCUAAACUCAGCUCCAAGACUAAUUCUUUCCUCACCCUUCACCGUGCCACCCCAUAACAUGCUUGUAAUCACAUUAAGCGCAGUCAAGAACAUCUGUUCACCGACAUUCACAGGCAAUCCUGCCUGAUUAUAGAAGUAAUUGAUCGAUUGUCUAAGCUCCCUUUUCCUUAGUGCAUAAACAGAAUCUAAAGUAGAACCACUAAGCAUUUCCCGAACACAAACUUUCCUCAACAUACGCCAUUUCGGUCCAUAAGGAGUCCAAACUAUGUCUUUGCCACCAUAUGAAGAUUCUCUACAAGCAGCAGGCACAUCUCUAUUAGCAAAAAUGGUAUCUUGAUCCUUAAGCACCUCGCGAGCUAAGGCAGGUGAAGUAAUAAUAACCCCAACUUUUUUACCAAGCCAGAGUCUACAAAUGGGGCCAUAAGUUUGGGAAAGAGAUGCAAACCAGGUGUGAAGUUCGGGAUCGAGAGAAUGGAGAUUACCUAGAAAAGGCAAAGCUUUAGGCCCUGGUGGCAAUGGGGGUUGUCCAUUUUUUGACUUAUUGAUGAAAAACGAAAGAAACCAUAGCAAAGCUAAAAUACCAAGAACAUAGGAGAAAACUACACCAUUUUGCUUAAUAUUUGGUUCUUGCCAGGGCCAUGGGGAAGAAUCAAACAGACGUUUGACGAAUUUGUGUGACAUUAUUUGAGCCUAAGAGGAAAAUGAGAAAUGGCAGAACCAAUACACUGGGAAGACAUUUUCCACUUCUUAUGUCAAUGGAUGCUUGUUGGGUAGCACAAAUGAAUGUUCAGUUUCUGAUACCUUAGCCGUCCUUUUCACAAGACAGAUUAGGAAAUAAUAUUGAAUUAAGUAUAUAUCGACUUCAAUGCCAGAACAAAUAUGCUCUUUUCAGUCCCUUUUUGUUUACUUGCUCCAGGUGUGGUUUUAAGUAUUAUGUUUCAUCUAAUAAUGAAAAUUGUAUGUCUCGUCAGAAUUGGCUUAUAGUUACUUAUAACUGAAGGAAUAUAAUUUACUCAAAUUCUCCAACAACAUGAAAAUAGGUAGAACAGCCUCUAUUUAUAAUAAUGCAAAAUCUACUUUAACUAGAAACUGGAGAACCUAUUCAUAUAUAGUUUUGACUACAAUCUUGUUUAGCCAUGAAUUAAAUAAAGGAAAUACCAAAUCCUAAACAAUUUUGGUUUCGUACAACUUGGAAUUAGUCUUCCAAUAAUAAUGAAUACAAUGGAAACUUCCCAUCAAGGUCACAUAACAUAAUCCUGAAAUAAGUAAGGAUAUCUAGCCUCUAUAUCUUUCUCGGAUUUCCAUGUAGCUUACUCGGAAUUAUAAGAUUAUGCCAUAACACCUUAACGGAGGCUAUAUCUCUCGUUCUCAGCCCAUGGACUUGGCUAUCAAGGAUGGUUAUAGGAGCCUCCCAUAGAGCUCAAGGUUAGAUAUUGCCUUCCCAAAUAGGAAUUUUGACAAUUAUAAACUAUCUUAAGUUUUUCUUGAAUAUUCCUUACAUUUUCGAAGACUUAAUACAAGAUCAGGACCAAUCAGCUUUGCUCUACUUAUCUAAACCAAUCUAUGGGUGAUCUACAUUUCACCCGUACAAAGGCCUCAAACGGAACCAUUUGGAUGUUCAUCGGAUACAUGUCGUUUAGGUAAACUUUUUCAACAGAAGGUGAUCAUCCCAGUUACCUCUAGAAAUCCAUCACAUAUGAUCUUCACAUACCCGUGAACAUUUGAACGGUCCUUUCUGCGUGCCCAUCCAUUGGCGAGUGGAAAACCAUGCUAAGAUUAACCUAUGUGCCCAAACCCUUCUGAAACAACUGCCAGAAGUGAGUGGCUUACUGUGCACCUCGGUCAUGAUCGCCUUCCCGAGUUCAUCCACAUCUGAACCACACAAAUGACUGUUGUGAACUAGGAAACUGUCAACAGAAGAAAGCUGAUUAGGUAUUUUAACUUGGGUUGAGAAGAUUCUGGAAUGGAUCUAAUCAAAUACUGGUGACUCGGGUUUCAUAUUCUUGAUGUGCACCAACUGUAUAGAAACCAUUGCAUUAACUUCAAAUGGAUCCCAGUUACAUGGAUCACAUCUCAAUAUAUAGUUCAUCGUAAAAAAGACAGAAGCAUAAUCACUACAAACACAUGUCAAAACUCAUAUAGAAACACUAGCAAGAGACAGGAAACGGGAAAUUGCAAAUGUCAAUGAGAAUAAUUACAAGCAUCUGUACUCAUUAAACAAUGCUCGGUUCAAGGAUAACUUACACACGAAUUACUAUAUAAAGAUUUAUUGAGAAGCACAAUACUUUAUUCAGUAUUGGUAUUUGUUAUUGGAUAAGUCUGUUAACAUAUCUAUCAAGGAGAUGCCAACUGUUUCUUUCUGCACGUAUACUAUUCUCUUUGUAAUUUUAUGAGCUUCUAGUGAAGUAAUACAUGUACUAUUUCAAAAUUCGAUUCACUAUAGAAUAUUUAUUUAGUCAUGGAAAUCAGCCGUUUCACAUGGAAUAGUGGAACAUCUUUUAUCUUACUCAUAGAGUGUUGGACUGGAUAAUCUUGGAGUGGGUAUAACCAUCAGAGGCAUUUUCUUCUUCAAAACAACACCAAACUUCUCUGUAAGGUCUAAUAUCUCUCCUUCGGGCAACUUCCAGUCGAAAGAAUGAACGAGUGAAGCCAGUGAAUACAUGAACAUCCUCUCACCCAUGGCUAUCCCCACACAAAUUCUUCUGCCAGAACCAAAUGGAAAGUAGUUGAAAUCAUUUCCACUAUAGUCCCAUUUAUUGCCCAAAAAUCUUUCCGGAUGGAAUUCAGUUGGAUUUUCCCAGAUAGAAGGAUCUCUCUGCAUAGCCCAUACAUUUACAUAAACACGAGAUCCUUUAGGAACAGUGUAUCCUCCCACAGUGCAUGUCUCACUAGGACAAUGUCGCGAUAAGAGUGGAAGAGUUGGAUGUAAGCGCAAGACUUCUUUCAUAACUGCAUAGAGAUACGGUAAUUGUUGAAUAUGAGACUCUUCAACAAUAUUAUCUUUUCCCACAACUCUCUCUAGUUCUUGUUGUAAUUUCCUCAGGACAUAUGGUUUGUUCAUAAUUUCAGCCAUGGCAAACUCAACUGUGUUGGAGGUUGUGUCGGUUCCACCAAUAACCAUAUCCUGUUCAUAGUAUUUGUGAAGUUCAACAAUUUUUUUAUUUGCAGAACUGUCUAUGGGAGCUCAAUUCAAGGUUCACAGUUAAGUUUACACAUAUUAUCUGAUGCUAAAUUUGCCGACUCUUUCCUUUAUGCAGUCCAAUAACAAGUUAGCAACUAACAGUUCAGGACAUGAAUAUAUGAAUCUGAUAUAUCUAAUAUUUAUAACUCAUUUUCCACAAUAAUUCUUCAAUAGCAUUUGAUCCUUUUACUAUGACUAAAUUGUCACUAUAAUCUAUAACAUGUAAGGAAAUAGACUAUUUCAAGUAAAAUGCAAAACUAUGAAACCAGAACCACACCUAAGAACGUGAAUUUUCCAGGCAGAAAAAUGCAACCAACAGUCAGGACAUUAGUUUACGAAUCUGAUUCUUCUGAAAUGUAUUCCCUAUAUGCCACAAUAAUUCUUCUAUGAAUUUACAAUCCCGUUAUCUAUUUCAUUUGAUUUUGAUGCUUUUAUUAUACAACAACAACAAACCCAGUGUAUUCCCACUUUGUGGGGUCUGGGGGGGGUAAGAUGUACGCAGUCCAUCACGGACAGUGUACUGUGUAAGCUAAUAGUUAAUCCAUAUAGAUAAGGAAAAAAUGGUUGAAGACAAAUGCAAUCUUGGCUACUCAAUAAUAAUGUAGUGAUGACUAAGGAGAGGACGAUUUCUUUUUGGUUCAUUUGAAAAAUACAUAUUUAGAAGGAAACAAUCAUAGUAGCAUCCACUGAAAUUAACAGAUUUAUCGUGUCGUAGAAUGCACAACUGAUAAAACAUACCAUAAGUAAUGCUUUGAGUUCAGUCAUAGACAGAGGCAUUUUGGUAUCUGCUUCAUCUUUCAACUUCAGCAAAACUUGCAAAAAGUCCUUGCUUUCUCGGCCAACAAAAGUUCCCAUCUCACCAUUUCUAUCCAAUUCUUUUCUUUGAUCAAUCACGCUCUCAAAUAUCUUAUCAAAUCUCUUUGACAACACCUUCAUCUUCUUUGUAAGACCCUGCAAAUCAAACCAGUCCAAGCCCGGGUAAAAAUCAGAAAGAUUGGGCAUGCCAAGCAGCUCAGUCAUCUCAGUCACAACAUGCCUAAACUCAGCUCCAAGAGUAGCUCUUUCCUCAACCUUCACUGUGUCACCCCAUAUCAUGCUUGUAAUCACAUUAAGCAUUGUCAAGAACAUCUGUUCACCAACAUUCACAGGCGAUCCUGACUGAUUAUAGAAGCAAUUGAUUGAUUCUCUAAGCUCUUGUCGCCUUAGUCCACAAACAGAAUCUAAAGCAGAACCAUUAAGCAUAUCGCGAACACAAACCUUCCUCAACAUGCGCCAUUUCGGUCCGUAAGGAGUCCAAACUAUGUCUUUGCCACCAUAUGAAGAUUCUCUAGCAGCAGCAGGCAUAUCUCUGUUAGCAAAAAGGGUAUCUUGAUCCUUAAGCACCUCACGAGCUAAGGAAGGAGAAGUAAUAAUAAUCCCAAUUUUUUUUCCAAGCCAGAGUCUACAAAUGGGCCCAUAAGUUUGCGAAAGAGAUGCAAAAUAGGUGUGGAGUUCAGGAUCAAGAGAAUGGAGAUUACCUAUCAAGGGAAAAGCUUUAGGCCCGGGUGGCAAUGGCGGCACUCCCUUGUUUGAGUUACUGAUGAGAAAUGAAACAAACCAUAGUACAGCUAAAAUACCAAGAAAAUAGGUGAAAAAUACACCAUUUUUCUCCAUAUUGGAUUCAUGCAGGGGCAUUGCGAAAGAAUCAAACAGAGGUUUGAAGAAUUUGAGUGACAUUAUUUGAACCUAAGAGGGUAAUGGAAAAUGCCAGAAGCAAUGUGGUGUGAAGCUUUUGCACCACUUAAGUUUUCGAGCAACAUAGGAUAAGACAAAAGCAGCUGAAUGCAAAUGCAACCUUGUCUACUCAAAAUAAUGCAAUAGUCACCAUAAAUGGUUUGAACUUUGAACUGUCAUAAAGGGAAGGUUGUUUGUUCCCCAUAUUUGAACACCUUAGAAGUUAGAAAGGACCAACCAAUAUUACAUCAUAAGAAAGACAAUUACCUGAAGAACAAAUAUAUGUUGGGUAAGACCAAAAGUGACUCUUGAAAGGCUACAGAAUAACAAUAUGAAUAUGAACAUACCUCCCCAACACAACUGUUGGUUCCAAUUUGUUUUUCCAGAGUCAUUGUAGACAAAAUAAACUAACGGAAUAAUUAUAUAUAACCUCCCCUCAAAUUUGGCUACAUCACAGUUACUUUUGUUGUUUUGUGAUAUUACUAGUUUAGGUGUACGUGUAGCUCACUUUAUUGAGUUCAAACGUUAGAAUAUUUGUUUAAAAAAUAAAGAUGAAUACAAUAAUUAAAUUCAACAUCUUUUGGAGAAUCUAUUUAAUUAAACUUUACUUUUACCAAAAAAAAAAUCUCAAAGCUGAUCGACAUUUAUCUACCACCUGUAAACUGCAACAAAACAAUAUGAUGAUAGAGUCAUCAAAACAAUAUAAUUAAAUCUAACCUUCGCACAAAAAUUUCUUCAAAGUCGUCUGACACUCAUCUAUAAUCUGUAAACUAUAACAAAAUAAUACCAUAAUAGAGAUAUCAAAUAAUACAACUAAACUUUACCUUUACACAAAAAAAAAUCUCAAAAUAGGGAUAUAAAAACAAUACAAUUAAACAUAACCUUUACUUAAAAAAAUUUCUCAAAGUCGACCGACAUUCAUCCACAAUAGAGAUAUCAAAUAAUACAACUAAACUUUAUCUUUACACCAAAAAAAAAUCUCAAAAUAGGGAUAUAAAAACAAUACAAUUAAACAUAACCUUUACUUAAAAAAAUUCUUCAAAGCCGACCGACAUUCAUCUACUACCUGUAAAUUCAUCUACGGCCUAUAAACUACAACAAAAUAAUACAAUAGUGAUCACAAAGCUUAAUUUUGUAGAAAUAAUUCUUGUCCGAGAAAAAAUUUUGACACUAAAGAAUAACUUAAAUGAAAACAAAGAAGAUAUAUAUAUAUAUAUAUAUAUAUACACGUUGAAUUCUAUUAUGUUGAUAAAAAUAAUCUAGUAAAAAAAAUUACAACAACUAAUGCCUUGUUAAAAUAGGUAAGAAAAAUUAAUUUACCUAAAUUAAAGAAUAUUACAUGAGUUUAUACCUAAACUAAUUUUAUUCGUAACAAAUCCUACGUUUAAAAGGACUCAUAAAUUAAAUUAGUUACCCUAAUAAAAUUAAAUAAUAAUUUAAAAAAAUAGUGAAGGGUAAAAAGUUUAAAUCACUUUUAUAAGGGUUUUCACAUGUUUUAUAUAUUAUAGAUAUAGAUUAUAGACAUAGAUAUAGAUUAUAAAUAUAAAUUAUAGAUUAUAGAUAUAAAUAAUAGAUUAAUGAAAUGGCCUUCAGUAUAUUUAGGAUUGAUUUUUAAUAUCGUAGUUAAAAAAAAAAUUAAUAUGGUUGGUCUUUAUUAUUAUUCCACAUAUUAUUUAUUAGUAUUAAAAUAAUAUGAGUUCCAAAUAAACUAAACUUUACUUAUAGGAAUUUUAGUCUUUUUUUCCUUUUCUUUUCUAGACACUAACGUUCCAUUUUUAAUUUGGUUCAAUUUUGUAUUAAACUUUACUAAUCUGAAUUUUAGCUUUCUUUUUCCUUUCUAAUUUUGUACGUUAAAUUGGGUUUUAAAUUUGGUUCUAUUUUGUCCUUUCUUUUUUUUAUUUCAAUUCAAGUAAUGAAAUAGAAAGUCCUAUUUUAAGAGUAUUUUUCUAUCCUAUUUUAGCAAAAAUAUUAAUUGAUUUUUCUUCCAUAUAUUUUAGGAGUCCCAUAUAUUUUAAGAGUCUAGUUAAUAUAAUAAAAAUAGUUAAAUAAUAAAUUAGAAAAAUAGUGAAAAGACAAUUUUAUCUAAAGGAGUCUUUUAAUUUAGGACAAAAAAUUCAAAUCACUUUUUUAGAGCCUUCACACUUUUAAUAUAUUAUAGAUUAUAGAUAUAGAUGUUUUCCUUUUUAUUUUAAUUUUCUUUUUACCGAUUGUUUUGACCUAAUUAUUAUUAAUACAAAAAUAAAUGAUUUAACUAAUUGUUUAUUUUAUUUUGUAAACACGCUUUCUUCAAGCAAAUAUUGACAAGAGAACAAAGAAAACACCCUUUUCAUAUUUAUUCUUCAUGUGUAUAAACUGUAUAGAAAACUUUGAAUCAAUUUCAAAGGGGAUUCCAUUUUCAUGGAACACAUUUCCAUAGUUCAUCAUGUAAAACCAAAUCGUCAUGCAGAACGCAGCUCUCGACAGAUACAUUUUUAUCUUACUCAUACAGUGUUGGAUUGGAUAAUGUUGGAGUAGGUAUAGCCACCAGAGGCAUUUUCUUCUUCAGAACAAUCCCAAACUUCUCUGUAAGGUCUAAUGCCUCUCCUUCAGGCAACUUCCAGUCGAAAGAAUGAACAAGUGAAGCCAGUGAAUACAUAAACAUCCUCUCUGCCAUGGCUAUUCCCGCACAGAUUCUUCUGCCAGAACCAAAUGGAAAGUAGUUGAAAUCAUUUCCACUAUAGUCCCAUUUAUUGUCCAAAAAUCUCUCUGGGUGGAAAUCAGUUGGAUUUUUCCAGAUAGAAGGAUCUCUCUGUAUAGCCCAUACGUUUACGAACACACGAGAUCCUUUAGGAACAGUGAAUCCUCCCACGGUACGCGUCUCACUAGGACAAUGAGGAACCAAGAGUGGGAGCGCUGGAUGUAGACGCAAGACUUCUUUCAUAACCGCAUAGAAAUAUGGUAACUGUUGAAUAUGAGAUUCUUCCACUAUGUUAUCUUUUCCCACAACUGUAUCUAGUUCUUCUUGUAAUUUGCUCAGGACAUCUGGUUUGUUCAUAAUUUCAGCCAUGGCAAACUCAACCAUGUUCGAGGUUGUUUCAGUUCCACCGACAACCAUAUCCUGCUCACGGUCUUUGUAAAGUUAUUAUCAUGUGUAACAAAAUUCAGACUUGUAGAACAGUAUAUUAGAGUUUAGUUUACGGUUCACAGUUAAGUCUUUACAUAUUAUCGGAUGCUAAAUUUGUUGAUUCUUUCCAUAUGCAGCACAACAACUUGGUAGCAACCAACAGUUUAGGACAUGAAUAUAUGAAUCUAAUUCUUCUUAUAUUCAUUUUUCAUCUGCCACAAUAGUUCUACGAUAAAUUCACAAUCCAGCAGUUACUUAUAUUAACACUUGAUCCUCUUAUUUAACUAACAUCAAUAUAAUCCAAUUUUUCAUCCAUAAUUGGCAAGGAUAAUGAGAAAACAUACCAUGAGUAAAGCUUUGAGUUCAGUCAUAGUCAGAGGCAUUUUGGCAUCUGCAUCAUCUUUCAACUUCAGCAAAACUUGCAAAAAAUCCUUGCUUUCAUGGCCAACACCAGCUCCCAUCCCACCAUUUCUAUCAAUAUGCAGUCUUUUAUCAAUCAUGUUCUCAAAAAUCUUAUCAAAUCUCUUCGCCAACACCUUCAUCUUCUUUGUUACACCCUGCAAGUCAAACCUUUCCAAGCCUGGAUAAAAAUCGGAAAGAUUUGGAGUACUUAACAGUUCAGUCAUCUUAGUAACAACAUGCCUAAAUUCUGCUCCAAGACUAGCUCUUUCCUCACCCUUUACAGUGCCACCCCAUAACAUGCUUGUAAUCACAUUAAGCACAGUCAAGAACAUCUGUUCACCAAUAUUCACAGGUGUUCCCGCCUGGUCAUAAAAGUAAUUGAUAGUUUGUCUAAGCUCCCGCCGCCUUAGUUCAUAAACAGAAUCUAAAGUAGAACCACUAAGCAUUUCACGAACACAAACCUUCCUCAACAUACGCCAUUUCGGUCCAUAAGGAGUCCAAACUAUGUCUUUGCCACCAUAUGUAGCUUCUCUACCAGCAGCAGGCACAUCUCUGUUAGCAAAAAUGGUAUCUUGUUCCUUCAGCACCUCGCGAGCUAAGGCUGGCGAAGUAAUAAUAAUGCCAACUUUUUUACCAAGCCAGAGUCUACAAAUGGAGCCAUAAGUUUGGGAAAGAGAUGCAAAAUAGGUGUGAAGUUCAGGAUCGAGGGAAUGGAGAUUACCUACUAAAGGCAAAGCCUUAGGCCCUGGUGGCAAUGGGGGUUGUCCCUUAUUCGACUUAUUGAUGAAAAGCCGAAGAAACCAUAGUAAAGCUAAAAUACCAAGAGAAUAGGAGAAAAAUACACCCUUUUGCUCAAUAUUUGAUUCUUGCCCUGGCCAUGAGAAAGAAUCAAAUAGAGGUUUGAAGAACUCGAGAGACAUUAUUUGAGGAGCCUAAGAGGAAUAUGAAAAGUGGCAGAGCCAAUUUGGUGGGAAGCUCAAUGCUUUAACACAAUUUAAAACAAAAUGUUUUUUGCUGAAGGAAUGAGAGAUCUUGGAUCAAGACAGAAGGUAUUCUGCAGACCUAUAAUUCAAUCAAUAAAUUGUUCUUUAUACAGCAAUAAGUAAAUAUAAUUCGGCAUAAACAAUGUAUUAAAUUGUUUACUUUUUAUUUUUUUGCUUAGGUCACUAUAUAUCAACGCUAACUAUUUGAACUCAGAAGUUUUAACUGAGUUAAACUUUUUACUUCAUAUUGCAAGAUGCCAAACUUAACUUUUAUAUCUUGUUUUAUUUAAUAUGGAAAGAUACCAAGCUCAACAUUUGUAUCUUGUAUCUUUGGGUUUUAAAUAAAUGAAAAAGUCAAUGACCUUUGUUGGGUAGCUCAAAAGUAUCUUCAGAUUUUGAUACCUUUCAGAAAGAAUUGGUGCUUCUCCUUGUUCACAAGACAAAUAGGGAAAUAGUAUUAAACUAGGUAUAUAUUGUCUUCAAUGCCAGCACAAAUAUGCUCUUUCAGAUACAUUUUUGUUUACUUUAGGGAAAUUUCAGGACGGUGUAGGAUUUUUCACAUCUCAGGAAUAUUUUAAUCACAUCACUAUAGGUGGUAAUCAUUCGUCGUUAAUACCAAAAACUUGCAGCUACUUAGAAAUAUUUGUCCUCGAAUGUUUGGAAUAUAGUCGUUCUAGAGUCUUUGCCACUCUCUCUACCUCCUUAUGCCUCGAAAUUUGACAAACUCCUAAAUUUCUUAAAAUUUCGGUAGAAUCUCCUUAGUAAAUGAAACCAUGCCAAACUUCCAACCUGUUCAUAACAAAAAUCAAUACUAUGGGAACUUUUGAUCAACCCUUAAAGGUUGCACAUACCGUAAUCCUGAAAUAAGUAAGGAUAUCUUGCUUCUAUAUCUUCCUCUGAUUUCCAUGUAGCUAACUCGGAAUUAUAUGAUUAUGCCAUUACACCUAAUGGAGGCUAUGUCUUUCGUUCUCAGUCCACAUACUUGCCUAUCAAGGACGUUAAUAGGAGCCUCUAAUCAACCUUAGCUUUCGAUAUUGCCUGUCCAAAUAGGAAUUUUGACAAUUCUAAAGUAUCUUAAGCUUUGCUCUACCUGGUUCUAACCGAGCUAUGAGCGAUCCACAUUGUUGCCCGUACAAAAGCCUCAAAUGAAACCAUUUGGAUACAAUUGGAUAGAUGCUAUUAUAGGCAAACUUUGUCAAGUGGAUCCCAGUUACAGUGAACGCAUCUCAAUAUAUAGUUCAUCGUACAAAGACAGAAGCAUAAUCUCUACAAACACAUUUCAAUACUCAUAUAAAAACACUAGCAAAAGGCAGGAACAAGAGAUUGCAAACGUCAACGGACUCUUACGGAUAACUUACACAUGAAUUACAAUAUAAAGAUUUAUGAUGAAGCAUAAUAAUUACUGAAGUAUUGAUAUUUAUUGUUGUCUAUUUGGUAUGAGCAUUAAAACAAAGUAAUACAUGUAUUAUUAUAAUUCGAUUCAGUAUAUAAUAUUUAAGUAGUCAUGGAAAUUAGCCAUUUCACAUGUAUUAUUAUUUCAAAUUUGCUUUAGUAUACUAUUUUUAAGAUGAAAACUAGUCAUUUCACAUGGAACAGUGAAACUUUUGAGUUGAGUAUACUAUAUUUAAGUUGUUCAUAAUGUUAGAGUGGGUACAAAGUCCCACAUUGGUUGAGGAAUGGACUGGUAGUUUGCUUAUAUGGAUUUGGGUAAUCCUCACCUUCUGAGCUAGCGUUUGAGGUUGAGUUAGGCCCAAGGUCCAUUUUUUACAUGGUAUCAGAGUCAGGUCCAUCCCCGUUUUGGAGGCCCUGGGCGUGAGCGGGGGUGGUCCAUCCCCAUUUUGGGCUCCCGAUCCACGAGCCAGGCGCCAGUUGGGCCCUGGGCAUGAGCGGGUGUGUCAGGUCCAUUCUUGACACAUAAGACCCAAAUCUUUUAUCUUACUCAUAGAGAGUUGGAUUGGAUAAUCUUGGAAUAGGUACAGCCACCAGAGGCCUUUUCUUCAUCAAAACAAUACCAAAUUUCCCUGUAAGGUCUAACGUCUCUCCUUCGGGCAACUUGCAGUCGAGAGAAUGAAUAAAUGAAACCACUGAAUACAUGAACAUCCUCUCUGCCAUGGCUGUCCCCACACAAAUUCUUCUGCCAGAACCAAAUGGAAAAUAGUUGAAAUCAUUUCCUCUAUAAUCCCAUUUAAUCUCUCUGGAUGGAACUCGGUUUUUUCCAGAUUGAAGGAUCUGUCUGUAUGGCCCAUAUGUUUAUGAACACACGAGAUUCUUUAGGAACAGUGUAUCCUCCCUCAGUACCUGUCUAACUAGGACAAUGAGCAACCAUGAGUGGGAGCUCUGGAUGUAGACGCAAGACUUCUUUCAUAACUGCAUAGAAAUAUGGUAACUGUUGAAUAUGAGACUCUUCAACAAUAUUAUCUUUUCCCACAACUGUCUCUAGUUCUUCUUGUAAUUUCCUCAGGAUGCCUGGUUUGUUCAUAAUUUCAGCCAUGGAAAACUCUACUGUCUUGGACGUUGUGUCAGUUCCACCAAUAACCAUAUCCUGUCCAUGGUAUUUGUGAAGUUGUUAUCAUGUACAACAACUUUUUAUUUGUAGAACGGUGUUCCAAACUAUUUCCCAUAUCCUUGAAUGGUCCUUUCUGAUUGCCCGUCUAUUGGCAGGUGGAAAAUCAUGCUAAGAUUAACCUGUGUGCCCAAAUCUUAUAUCUGGAACAACUGCUAGAAUUGGGUGGCAUACUGUGCACACCGAAUUGCAGGCUUCAUAUUCUUGAAGUGUACCAACUGUAUAGAAACCGUUGAACUAAUUUAAAAUGGAUCCGAGUUACAAGGAACACAUCUCAAUAUAUAGUUCAUUGUGCAAAAGACAUAAGCAUAAUUACUACAAAAGCAUUUCAGUACUCAUCUAAGAAGGAAGCAGGAGAUAGCAAACACCAAUGAGAAUAGUUACAAGCAUCUAUGCUCAUUAAACCAUACUCUUAAGGGAUAACUUACACACGAAUUAAAAUAUAAAGAUUUAUUGUGAAGCAUAAUAAUUACUGCAGCAUUGAUAUCUGUUACAAUUUGGUUCAUUGCAUUAAUACUUGUACUAUUAAUUAAAAUUCGUAUCAGUAUACGGUAUUUAAGUAGUCAUGGAUAUUAGCCUUUUCACAUGAAACAGCUGGACUUUGAGUUGUUCAUAAGACAAUUGCUAGGGUAGAGCAACAUCUUUUAUCUUACUCAUAUAGUGUUGGAUUAGAUAAUCUUGGAAUAGGUACAGCCACCAGAGGCCUUUUCUUCUUCAUAAUAGCACCAAACUUCUCUGAAAGGUCUAAUGUCUCUCCUUCGAGCAACUUCCAAUCGAAAGAAUGAAUGAGUGAAGCCAGUGAAUACAUGAACAUCCUCUCUGCCAUGGCUGUCCCGGCACACAUUCUUCUUCCUGAACCAAAUGGCAAAUAGUUGAAAUCUUUUCCACUAUAAUCCCAUUUACUGUCCACAAAUCUUUCCGGAUGGAACUCAGAUGGAUUUUCCCAAAUAGAAGGAUCUCUCUGUAUAGCCCAUACAUUUACAAGAACACUAGAUCCUUUAGGAACAGUGUAUCCUCCCACAAUGCAUGUUUCACUAGGACAACGUGACACCAAGAGUGGAAGAAUUGGAUGUAUUCGCAAGACUUCUUUCAUAACUGCAUAAAGAUAUGGUAAUUGUCGAAUAUGAGACUCUUCCACAAUAUUAUCUUUUCCCACAACUAUCUCUAGUUCUUGCUGUAAUUUCCUCAGCACGUCUGGUUUGUUCAUAAUUUCAGCCAUGGCAAACUCAACAGUGUUGGAGGUUGUGUCAGUUCCAGCGACAACCAUAUCCUGUCCAUAGUAUUUGCGAAGUUAUUAUCAUGUACAACGAUAUUUUAUUUUGAGAACAGUAUAUUGGAGUUGAUCAGUUCAAGAUUCACAGUUGAAGUCUUCACAUAUUAUCUGUCUGAUGCUAAAGUUGCCAACUCUUUCCUUAAUGCAGCACAAUAACAAGCUUGCAGCUAAUAGUUCAGGACAUGAAUAUAUGAAUCUGAUUCAUCUAAUAUUUAUUUCUCAUCUGCCGGAAUAAUUCUUCAAUACAUUUACUACCCUAUUUUUAACUUCAAAUAGCAUUUGAUCCUCUUAUUAUGACUAAUAUCUCUAUAUGCCAACUUCUCAUCCGUAACAGGUAAGGAAAUUGACUAUUUGAAGGAAAAAAAGCAAACUUGAAACCAGCACCACAUCAAAUGAAAGGAAUUUUCCUAGCAGAAGAAUGUCAGGACAUGAAUUAACAAAUCUGAUUGUUCUGAAAUUUAUUUCCCAUAUACCAGAAUAAUUAUUCUAUAAAUUUACAAUCCUACUAUCUAUGUGAUAUCUCGUAACUUGAGCCGGGGGUCUUUCGGAAACAGCCUUUCUACUUCAUCAGAGGUAGAGGUAUGGACUGCGUACAUCUUACCCCCCCCAGACCCCACUAAGUGGGAAUACACUGGGUUUGUUGUUGUUGUUGUUGUAUUGCUAAAGUGGAUGAAAGUCCCACAUUGGUUGGGGAAUGAACCGGCAGUUUGCUUAUACAGACUUGGGCAAUCCUCCCUCAUAAGCUAGCUUUUAAGGUUGAGUUAGGCCCAGCUACCAUAUGUUACAUGUUACCAGAGCCAGGUCCAUCCCUGUCCGGGCGCCCGGUCCACGCAUGGUGAAAGUCCCACAUUGAUUGGGGAAUUGACUAACAGUUUGCUUAUAUAGACUUGGGCAAUUCUCCUCUCAUGAGCUAGCUUUUGAGGUUGAGUUAGGCUCAGGUGUCAUAUCUUUAAAUGGUUGAAGUGGGUGAAAGUCUCAUAUUGGUUAGGGAAUGGACUGGCAGUUUGCUUAUAUGGACCCGGACAAUCUUUCUUUCAUGAGCUAAUUUUUGAGGUUGAGUUAGGCCUAGGUGCCAUCAUCAUGAUUAGGGUAAGUUAAUAAUUAAUUCAUAGAGAUAAGUGAAUAUGGUUGAAGACAAAUGCAAUCUUGGCUACCAAAUAAUAGUCAGGAUGACUAUGAUUGAUUUGAAGAUUGUGACUGGGAGGAGGAAGAUGAUUAGGGUAAGUUAAUAAUUAAUUCAUAGAGAUAAGUGAAUAUGGUUGAAGACAAAUGCAAUCUUGGCUACCAAAUAAUAGUAAGGAUGACUAUGAUUGAUUUGAAGCUUGUGACUGGGAGGAGGAAGAUUUCUUUUGAAAAAAAAAAUUUAGAAGGAAACAACCACAAUCACAUCUAAUGGAGUGCACAACAGACAAAACAUACCAUAAGUAAUGCUUUGAGUUCAGUCAUAGAUAGAGGCAUUUUGGCAUCUGUUUCAUCUUUCAACUUCAGCAAAACUUGCAAAAAGUCCUUGCUUCCAAGCCCAAUACCAGUUCCCAUCCCUUCAUUUCUAUCCAGUUUUUGUCUUUGAUCAAUCAUGCACUCAAAUAUCUUAUCAAAUCUAUUUGCCAACACCUUCAUCUUCUUUCUAAGACCCUGCAAAUCAAACCAGGCCAAUCUGGGGUAAAAAUCGGAAAGAUUGGGAAUGCUAACCAGCAUAGUCAAAUCAGAGACAGCAUGCCUAAACUCAGCUCCAAGACUAGCUUUUUCCUCACCCUUCACUGUGCCACCCCAUAACAUGCUUGUAAUCACAUUAAGCAUUGUCAAGAACAUCUGUUCACCAAUAUUCACAGGCGAUCCCGCCUGAUUAUAAAAGUAAUUGAUCGAUUGUCUUAGCUCCCGUCUCCUUAGUCCAUAAACAGAAUCUAAAGUAGAAGCACUAAGCAUAUCACGAACACAAACCUUCCUCAACAUGCGCCAUUUCGGUCCAUAAGGAAUCCAAACUAUGUCUUGGCCACCAUAUGAAGCUUCACUAGCAGUAGCAGGCAUAUCUCUGUUAGAAAAAAUGGUAUGUUGAUCCUUAAGCACCUCACGAGCUAAGGAAGGAGAAGUAAUAAUAACCACAAACUUCUUACCGAGCCAGAGUCUACAAAUGGGGCCGUAAGUUUGAGAAAGAGAAGCCAAAUAGGUGUGUAGUUCAGGAUUAAGAGAAAGGAGAUUGCCUAUCAAAGGCAAAGCUUUAGGCCCCGGUGGCAAUGGGGGUAGUCCCUUUUUUGACUUAUUAAUGAAAAGCCAAAGAAACCAUAGUAAAGCUAUAACACCAAGAAAACAGGAGAAAAAUACACCAUUUUGCUCAAUAUUGGGUUCUUGCCAUGGCCAUGGGAAAGAAUCAAACAGGGAUUUGAAGAAUUUGAGAGACAUUAUUUGAGCCUAAGAGGGAAUGGAAGAUGGCAGAAGCAAUGUGGUGGGAAGCUCAAAGCUUUUGCACCACUUAAAUAAGAAUUGAUUCCUGAAGGCACCACUUAAAGUUUCGAGCAACAUUAGGGUAAGGCAAAAGCGGUUGAAGGCAAAUCCAAUCUUGUGUACUCAGAAAUAAUGCGAUAGUGAGCAUAACAGGUUUGCACUUUGAACUGUCAAAAAGGAAGGUCAUUUGCUCCCAUAUUUGAACUCCUUAGAAUUUAGAGGGGACCAACCAAUAUUACAUCAAAAGAAAGUGACUUGUCCUAUAUAGUAGAAAAUGCACAUAGAUGACAUAACAUACCAUAAAAGGCAACUUCACCUAGAAAAAUUCAAUGCUUUAACACCAUAUGCUCACUUCAUUUCACUUGGCCCCUGUUCGGAAAAUAGAUUUUUUUCUUUUUAUUGGUCCAUUUUAGCAGAUCAAGAGAGUUAUGUUACUCUUUUCACAUACUACCCUUCCUAUUAACAUGAAGUAGUUAGCCUUAGUAUUAACAUAAAGUAGUAGUAGCCGAAUUUAGAGUUCCAAGACAUCAUUAAUAAAGUUAGUUUAGUAAAAUACAUCUCUAAUAAAAGUUCUCUUAAGGUUUGUGCCAAGUCAACAUCGGAGGGAGUAUAAAAAAGUAAAAUUCCAAGAAGAAUAAGAAUAUCUUGGAUAAGACAAAAAAGUGGCUCUUGAAAGUCUGCAGAACCACAAUAUGGAUAUAAACAUACCUCCUCAAUCCGACUGCUGCUUCAAACUUCAAAGCAAAAACAGUAAAACUAGUGUUGGUUCCAAUUUGUUUUUGUCAAAUGGUGCCACAUAAGUUAGGGAAGAGGGAGUAAUAUUGUUAUCUUACAAACACAAAAACUCAUCUCUGAUGUGCAUCAGGUAGUAUUAUAGAGGGAGUUAGAUGAUACUAUCAACAGAAGAGCAGCUGGAGAAGAAGAUUAUGGAAUGAAUCUAAUCAAAUACUAGCGGUUUAGGCACACUUAGUGGCAGGUCAUAUAUUCUUUUGUGUCAUUGUUAGAGUGGGUAAAAAGUCCCACCUUGGUUGGGGAAUGGACUAGUGGUUUGCUUAUAUGGACUUGGGCAAUCCUUUGAGGUUGAGUUAGGCCCAAGGUCCAAUCUUGACAUGUAAUAACUACACAGAAACCUGUGAAUUGAUUUCAAGUGGAUCCCAGUUACAGGGAACACAUUUUCAUAGUUGAUCAUACAAACGACAGAAGCAUCAUCUCUACAAACACAUAGCCUAUACUCAUAAUAAAAACACAAGAAAAAGGCAGGAAACUGGAGACAGCAAAUGUCAAAGGAGUUGUUGGAAAUUAACCAUUUCACAUGGAACUUUGAGUUGUCCAUAAGACCAUUGCCAGGAUAGAGCAACAUCUUUAUCUUACUCAUAGAGUGUCGGAUUAGAUAAUCUUGGAACAGGUAUAGCCACUAGAGGCACUUUCUUCUUCAAAACAAUACCAAACUUCUCCGUAAGAUCUAAUGUCUCUCCUUCAGGCAACUUCCAGUCGAAAGAAUGAAUGAGCGAAGCCAGUGAAUACAUGAACAUCCUCUCUGCCAUGGCUAUUCCCGCGCAGAUUCUUCUGCCAGAACCAAAUGGAAAGUAAUUGAAAUCAUUCCCACUAUAGUCCCAUUUAUCGUCCAAGAAUCUCUCCGGAAGGAACUCAGUAGGAUUUUCCCAGAUAGAAGGAUCUCUCUGUAUAGCCCACACAUUUAUGAAAAUACGAGAUCCUUUAGGAACAGUGUAUCCUUCCACAGUGCAUGUCUCACUAGGACAAUGUGGCACCAAGAGUGGAAGAGCUGGAUGUAUGCGCAAGACUUCUUUCAUAACUGCAUAGAGAAAAGGUAAUUGCUGAAUAUGAGACUCUUCCACAAUAUUAUCUUUUCCCACAACUGUCUCUAGUUCUUGUUGUAAUUUCCUCAAGACGUCUGGUCUGUUCAUAAUUUCAGCCAUGGCAAACUCAACUGUGUUGGCGGUUGUGUCAGUUCCACCA